AAGCUAGAUUUAUUAUAAACUAAACGCGACGCGAUACGUUGUCAACCUUUAAAUCUAAUCUUAAAACUAACACACAGCCUGUCCAGGACUGCGAAGGUACUGCACUCUUCAGCGGCGACCACGCUCCGAGUCAGCCCGCCCCGAGGUAAACAGGUAACGAAGAAAGUUCGUCUUUCUUCUCCCUGGGCCGCACCUUUUACCAGUCCAUUCGACUGAGGGUGAGGAAAAGAGACCGCGAAACGAUCCUCUCGAUCGCCGCGUCGCAGCCAUACGUAGCAGCUUCUGAUAGGGGCUACGCUAGAGCUGACUAUCAGAGCUCGCAGCCGUGGGCAAAUCUCCGGUGAUUCGGUAACAAGGUCUGUGAUGCCCUUAGAAGGCCCGGGUAUACCGCUGAACCUCCUUCGUGCUAGGGAUUGGGGCUUGCCAUUAUUCCCCAUGAACGAGGAAUUCCCAGUAAGCGCGAGUCAUAAGCUCGCG
rnacentral:ncRNA from 1 species